AGCCCUGUAGCUCAGUGGUAUAGCAUCUGGUUUGCAUGCAGAAGGUCUUAGGUUCAACCUCUGACAUCUCCUGGUAUGGUUU